UUCAGUCUUUUAAGGAUCAACUCUAAUGCUAUCAUCGGAGAUGAUAUGACCUUGAAAUGCUACUAACCUUAACCAAAAUUUGCACUUACUGAAUUUGGUGAACAACUAAUGAUUUUGAGGGUCUGUAAUGCUAUUCUGAAAUGGUCUGCAUGAUCUUGCUUGCUACGAGAAUAGACAUGAAUAUCAUCUAUAAAGACUAUGACGAACAUGUCCAUGUAUUUCUUA
rnacentral:lncRNA from 1 species